UAAUAGUGUAUAUUAAAGUUGUUGCAGUUAAAAAGCUCGUAGUUGAAUGUUGGUGUCGAACGAGCGGUCAGCUUCGGCUGUACUGCUCUCUCGACUCCUUCCUUCUGUGGACUACGUCGCACUUUACUGUGUGGCGCUAGGACGCAGAUCGUUUACUGUGAAAAAAUUAGAGUGUUCAAAGCAGGCCGUACGCUUGAAUACAUUAGCAUGGAAUAAUGGAAUAGGACGUCGGGCCUAUUUUGUUGGUUCUAGGACCGUCGUAAUGGUUAAUAGGGACAGUUGGGGCCGUUUAUAUUCCGUAGUCAGAGGUGAAAUUCUUGGAUUUACGGAAGAUAAACUACUGCGAAAGCAUUCGGCAAGGAUGUUUUCGUUAA
rnacentral:rRNA from 1 species